rnacentral:rRNA from 1 species
CCUACGGGAGGCUGCAGUGGGGAAUAUUGGACAAUGGGGGCAACCCUGAUCCAGCCAUGCCGCGUGUGUGAAGAAGGCCCUCGGGUUGUAAAGCACUUUCAGUGAGGAAGAACGCCUGGUGGUUAAUACCCAUCAGGAAAGACAUCACUCACAGAAGAAGCACCGGCUAACUCCGUGCCAGCAGCCGCGGUAAUACGGAGGGUGCGAGCGUUAAUCGGAAUUACUGGGCGUAAAGCGCGCGUAGGUGGCUUGAUAAGCCGGUUGUGAAAGCCCCGGGCUCAACCUGGGAACGGCAUCCGGAACUGUCAAGCUAGAGGGCAGGAGAGGAAGGUAGAAUUCCCGGUGGAGCGGUGAAAUGCGUAGAGAUCGGGAGGAAUACCAGUGGCGAAGGCGGUCUUCUGGACUGACACUGACACUGAGGUGCGAAAGCGUGGGUAGCAAACAGGAUUAGAUACCCUAGUAGUC